rnacentral:tRNA from 1 species
GGCCUGACAGCUCAACUGGCAGAGCAUUGCACCAGCCUUGCAGAGGUCAGGAUUCGAAUCCCCAUUCAGGCCU